rnacentral:rRNA from 1 species
UGAACGCUAGCUACAGGCUUAACACAUGCAAGUCGAGGGGCAGCAUGGUCUUAGCUUGCUAAGGCCGAUGGCGACCGGCGCACGGGUGAGUAACGCGUAUCCAACCUGCCUUACACUCUUGGACAGCCUUCUGAAAGGGAGAUUAAUACAAGAUGUUAUCAUGAGUAAGCAUUUUCACAUGAUUAAAGGUUUACCGGUGUAAGAUGGGGAUGCGUUCCAUUAGAUAGUAGGCGGGGUAACGGCCCACCUAGUCUUCGAUGGAUAGGGGUUCUGAGAGGAAGGUCCCCCACAUUGGAACUGAGACACGGUCCAAACUCCUACGGGAGGCAGCAGUGAGGAAUAUUGGUCAAUGGACGAGAGUCUGAACCAGCCAAGUAGCGUGAAGGAUGAAGGUUCUAUGGAUUGUAAACUUCUUUUAUACGGGAAUAAACGAAUCCACGUGUGGAUUUUUGCAUGUACCGUAUGAAUAAGGAUCGGCUAACUCCGUGCCAGCAGCCGCGGUAAUACGGAGGAUCCGAGCGUUAUCCGGAUUUAUUGGGUUUAAAGGGAGCGUAGAUGGGUUGUUAAGUCAGUUGUGAAAGUUUGCGGCUCAACCGUAAAAUUGCAAUUGAUACUGGCAGUCUUGAGUACAGUUGAGGUAGGCGGAAUUCGUGGUGUAGCGGUGAAAUGCUUAGAUAUCACGAAGAACUCCGAUUGCGAAGGCAGCUUACUAACCUGUAACUGACAUUGAUGCUCGAAAGUGUGGGUAUCAAACAGGAUUAGAUACCCUGGUAGUCCACACGGUAAACGACGAAUACUCGCUGUAGGCGAUAUACAGUCUGCGGCCAAGCGAAAGCAUUAAGUAUUCCACCUGGGGAGUACGCCGGCAACGGUGAAACUCAAAGGAAUUGACGGGGGCCCGCACAAGCGGAGGAACAUGUGGUUUAAUUCGAUGAUACGCGAGGAACCUUACCCGGGCUUAAAUUGCAACCGAAUAUGGCGGAAACGCUAUAGCUAGCAAUAGCGGUUGUGAAGGUGCUGCAUGGUUGUCGUCAGCUCGUGCCGUGAGGUGUCGGCUUAAGUGCCAUAACGAGCGCAACCCUUGCCGAUAGUUACUAACAGGUCAUGCUGAGGACUCUGUCGGGACUGCCAUCGUAAGAUGUGAGGAAGGUGGGGAUGACGUCAAAUCAGCACGGCCCUUACGUCCGGGGCUACACACGUGUUACAAUGGGGGGUACAGAGGGCUGCUACCACGCAAGUGGAUGCCAAUCCCAAAAACCUCUCUCAGUUCGGAUUGAAGUCUGCAACCCGACUUCAUGAAGCUGGAUUCGCUAGUAAUCGCGCAUCAGCCACGGCGCGGUGAAUACGUUCCCGGGCCUUGUACACACCGCCCGUCAAGCCAUGGGAGCCGGGGGUACAAGAAGUGCGUAACCGCAAGGAGCGCCCUAGGGUAAAACUGGUGAC